rnacentral:SRP_RNA from 1 species
GCUGGGUGUGGUGGUGCACACUUGUAGUCCCAGCUACUGGGGAGACUGAGGCAGGAGGAUCACUUGAGCCCAGGAGUUCGAGGCUGUGGCAAGCCGUGAUUGCACCACUGCACUCCAGCCUGGGCAACAGAGCGAGAUCCUGUCUCUG